AUUGGAAGUAAAAGUCGUAACAAGGUUUCCGUAGGUGAACCUGCGGAAGGAUCAUUACAGAGUUCAUGCCCUUCGGGGUAGAUCUCCCACCCUUGUGUAUCAUUAUAGAAUGUUGCUUUGGCGGGCCGCGCCUAGUGUGCCUGGAUUCGCGUUCAGCGUGCCCGCCAGAGGACCCCUAAACUCUGAAUGUUAGUGUCGUCUGAGUACUAUUAAAUAGUUAAAACUUUCAACAACGGAUCUCUUGGUUCUGGCAUCGAUGAAGAACGCAGCGAAAUGCGAUAAGUAAUGUGAAUUGCAGAAUUCAGUGAAUCAUCGAAUCUUUGAACGCACAUUGCGCCCCCUGGUAUUCCGGGGGGCAUGCCUGUUCGAGCGUCAUUUAUACCAAUCUAGCCCGGCUAGGUGUUGGGCUUCGCCGUUUGGCGGGCCUUAAAACCAGUGGCGGUGCUCUUAGGCUCUACGCGUAGUAAUUUUCUCGCUAUAGGGUCCUGGGAGAUGCUUGCCAGCAACCCCAAAUUUUUCUUAGGUUGACCUCGGAUCAGGUAGGGAUACCCGCUGAACUUAAGCAU
rnacentral:rRNA from 1 species